rnacentral:rRNA from 1 species
UACGGAGGGAGCUAGCGUUGUUCGGAAUUACUGGGCGUAAAGCGCACGUAGGCGGCGAUUCAAGUCAGAGGUGAAAGCCCGGGGCUCAACCCCGGAACUGCCUUUGAAACUAGAUCGCUAGAAUCUUGUAGAGGUCAGUGGAAUUCCGAGUGUAGAGGUGAAAUUCGUAGAUAUUCGGAAGAACACCAGUGGCGAAGGCGACUGACUGGACAAGUAUUGACGCUGAGGUGCGAAAGCGUGGGGAGCAAACAGG